AGAGGAAGGCUCGUCCGCUCUGGGUUAGUCGGGUCCUAAGCUGAGGCCGACAGGCGUAGGCGAUGGAUAACAGGUUGAUAUUCCUGUACCACCUAUAAUCGUUUUAAUCGAUGGGGGGACGCAGUAGGAUAGGCGAAGCGUGCGAUUGGAUUGCACGUCUAAGCAGUAAGGCUGAGUAUUAGGCAAAUCCGGUACUCGUUAAGGCUGAGCUGUGAUGGGGAGAAGACAUUGUGUCUUCGAGUCGUUGAUUUCACACUGCCGAGAAAAGCCUCUAGAUAGAAAAUAGGUGCCCGUACCGCAAACCGACACAGGUAGUCAAGAUGAGAAUUCUAAGGUGAGCGAGCGAACUCUCGUUAAGGAACUCGGCAAAAUGACCCCGUAACUUCGGGAGAAGGGGUGCUCUUUAGGGUUAACGCCCAGAAGAGCCGCAGUGAAUAGGCCCAAGCGACUGUUUAUCAAAAACACAGGUCUCUGCUAAACCGUAAGGUGAUGUAUAGGGGCUGACGCCUGCCCGGUGCUGGAAGGUUAAGAGGAGU
rnacentral:rRNA from 1 species